CUUAUCUUUUUCUUCCUAAUCUCUCACUUUUGUAUUUUUGCAUCACCUGUCCUAGCUCUCUAGCUUUCUCCUAUAGCUCUAUUUUUUCUUAUUCAUUUUCUACUUUUUUCUGCUUCAUAGGAGGCCUUAGCUGCUUCCAUCAUGUACGCUUAGUUUAUUUUACUUGAUGAAUAAAGCAGGUAGCUCGCUAUCUCUUUCUAAAAAAAAAAACACUGGUGGCGGUCAGUUGGUGAAUUAUCUGACACGAAUGAAAUAACGUUAUUCUUAGAAAUUUCACCAAUUAAUAGUGCAU
rnacentral:lncRNA from 1 species